UCCGGGGGGUGCAAUCGUUGCUCGGAAUCACUGGGCGUAAAGCGCGUGUAGGCGGCUUUGUAAGUCGGGUGUGAAAGCCCGGAGCUCAACUCCGGAAUUGCAUUCGAAACUACCUCGCUCGAGUCCCGGAGAGGGUGGUGGAAUUCCCGGUGUAGAGGUGAAAUUCGUGGAUAUCGGGAGGAACACCAGUGGCGAAGGCGGCCACCUGGACGGUGACUGACGCUGAGACGCGAAAGCGUGGGGAGCAAACAGG
rnacentral:rRNA from 1 species